ACACAUGCMAGUCGAACGGAAAGGCUCCUGCUUGCAGGGGUACUCGAGUGGCGAACGGGUGAGUAACACGUGGGUGAUCUGCCCCGCACUUCGGGAUAAGCCUGGGAAACUGGGUCUAAUACCGGAUAGGACCACUUCUUGGAGGUUGUGGUGGAAAGUUUUUUCGGUGUGGGAUGAGCUCGCGGCCUAUCAGCUUGUUGGUGGGGUAAUGGCCUACCAAGGCGUCGACGGGUAGCCGGCCUGAGAGGGUGUACGGCCACAUUGGGACUGAGAUACGGCCCAGACUCCUACGGGAGGCAGCAGUGGGGAAUAUUGCACAAUGGGCGCAAGCCUGAUGCAGCGACGCCGCGUGGGGGAUGACGGCCUUUCGGGUUGUAAACUCCUUUCGCUAGGGACGAAGCGC
rnacentral:rRNA from 1 species